UGGGAGCCCCUCCUGUGUUCACCGUCCCCGGGGUGAGGGCUAACAAAGGACCGAGGAGAAGCAGGUGGAGCGCCAGAGACGAGAGCAGGAGCGGGGUGAAGCCCGUUAUAGAGUGCGCGCUUCCACUUCUCCACGUCUCCACCUUACUUCUCUCCACCCUCGUUCCGCUCCGGCUAGGUGGCCACUUCCAGGACCGCCUGCACCGCCCGACACCUUCCCCCAGGCUCCCCCGUCUCUCUGCCGGCCUGGAGAGUUGGCAUCUACCCGCUGUGCUCCGUGGAGCUGGAGGCGUGAGCGCUAGGAUCGGCGCGGCGGCGGCAGCAUCUCUCCUCUUGUUCAUUCACAUCCAACAUGGCUCACACACUCACACUGACUGGCGGGCUGGCUCACACACUGUCGCUCAGCGUGUGUGUGUGUGUGUGUGAGAGAGAGAGAGAGAGAGAGAGAGAGAGAGGCAGUAUAAAUGUGUAGCAUCCAUCCAUACGCACACACACACACGCACACACACACGCAAUCACGCUCUCCUCCAUCUCGCCUCCCCUCCCCCUUUUGCUUGCAUCUCCACCGCCUCUCCCUCUCUCCUUUUUCUCUUUAAAUGCGCGGCUCCGGUAAGAAGGGCUGUUACACAGCACCCGCGGCGUCGCCAUCCCCGCAGCUGGAAAAGGAUGGAGAAGCAGUCCGUAUCACACCGUCAUCUCCUUACAAUGAAGCGUGACCAUCCCUACAGACAGUGCCCGGCCUGCGGGCACUGUCAACAAGAGCACAAACUUAUGAUGUGAUGAAAGGGAAUCCUCUGAAACUUAAAUAAAUGCAUAUAAGCUAAAGAAA